GACGAACGCUGGCGGCGCGCUUAAUGCAUGCAAGUCGAACGAUGAAACCCCUUCGGGGGUGGAGCAGUGGCGAACGGCUGAGUAACGCGUAAGUAACCUACCCCCGAGUGGGGAAUAACUCCGGGAAACCGGAGCUAAUACCGCAUAAUCCGUUGUGUCGCAUGGCAUAACGGCAAAGGUUUCGGCCGCUUGGGGAUGGGCUUGCGUUCUAUCAGGUAGUUGGUGAGGUAAGAGCUCACCAAGCCAAUGACGGAUAGCUGGUCUGAGAGGACGACCAGCCAGAGGGGGACUGCGACACGGCCCCCACUCCUACGGGAGGCAGCAGCAGGGAAUCUUGCGCAAUGGGCGA
rnacentral:rRNA from 1 species